rnacentral:rRNA from 1 species
UCAUGCAAGUCGAGCGAACAGAUAAGGAGCUUGCUCCUUUGACGUUAGCGGCGGACGGGUGAGUAACACGUGGGUAACCUACCUAUAAGACUGGGAUAACUUCGGGAAACCGGAGCUAAUACCGGAUAACAUUUGGAACCGCAUGGUUCUAAAGUGAAAGAUGGUUUUGCUAUCACUUAUAGAUGGACCCGCGCCGUAUUAGCUAGUUGGUAAGGUAACGGCUUACCAAGGCGACGAUACGUAGCCGACCUGAGAGGGUGAUCGGCCACACUGGAACUGAGACACGGUCCAG